GUUUUGUUGUUCUUACCUAUAUAUGCUCCAGUGGCCUUUAGUAGAAGACGGAUAUAAAUAUCGCCGUUUUUUUUGUUUUUUUCAUGAUGACAGCAUAUGGCUCAUACUUUGUUACUGUCGCGCAAACUUUCUGGGAAAGCCGAUUUUUUUUUUUUUUUUUAACGUUCACUCAGCUCCUUCUGCUGCUGCAGAGAUAGGCUGUUUACCUGACCCGGAUUCACGAGAACCGGCAUUAGAACAGCCUGCUGAAGCAACUUGAGGAAAGCGAUUAGAGAGAUUAAGUCCAGCUGGAUUCCUGCAGUCAACUCUAUGCGAGUCUGCGGAGGUGUUAAAUCCAGAUCAACAUGCUGCCUCUACUGUCUCUCUCACUGUUGCUUUCAAUAGGACCUCAGUGCUGAACUAUUGAGAUGAGCUAUUUGAUGAAAACCUGACUUCUCUUUAUGAUCAUUAUUGGUCAGCAGUGAUUGAUCAUGGUGCUGUGUUUGAUAACGAUUGUCAUGUAAAGGUGUCCGCUGCCUCAUGCUCUUUAACGCGAACGCCUCCUCCAUCUGAACUAGGAUGUCUGGAAAGUGUCCGAUUAUUUAGCUCACACAUCAGCAGUGAUCACUGUCACGGACACAUGUGUUGUGACCCUGCAUCCUGAGUCUGAAGAGAGGAAAGACCCAUGACUGCUAACGCUGUGCCGGCGGAGGUGUUUUUGUGCUCUGGGAAUCAACAACUUGUCAUCUGACGGCAGAGCAAUAACAGAGAGUCAGAUAAAUUCCCCCUGCUUUUAGUUGAGUCAUGGCGAAAUGGUCCUCAGAGGCAUGUCGUAGGUCAUGCACAUGCUUCUGUUUCCAAGAGAUACAAGGAGGGAAAAAAAAACCCCACAAGUCUGCAAGAAUGAGUCACUGCAGAGAUGGUCAAAGGGUAAGAGCGAAACUGAACUUUCUUGUUUUGUGUUUGUUUGUUCGAUUCAAAGCAUUCUCUUAUUUACUCCAAAAAGAUGCCCUCCGUGAGUUCAGUCCAAAUAAAGUACGCGCUAACCUUGUUUUUUAUGACUGAUCCCCACAUUUUUAUGUCACCAUCAAUAAUUCCUAAAUUGCUUUUCGUCUUUGGUUUGCAAUCAUUAAUUAAUUAUACUGAACAUCCCCCAUAAUGAGGUAGUCACUGUCAUAGUUACAUGAUUUCUGGGCUUCUUUCCAUUUGGCAUAGGAUAUCACCGAGCCUAUUUGGUAAUUAUAGAGCAGAUGAGGCCCCAUACAGUACUUUUUGCAACUUUGCAGCUCUAAAUAAAAAAGAGAACCAGCUAGUUCAAUCAAGACCUCAUUCAUCUACUGCUUUCCUUCCUACUCCACUUCAUUUCCUCCUCUCUCUCUCUGGGUUUCCUUUCCUCUCUCAUCACGGCUCUCCUCUGCCUUUAUACAUUUUUUUUGUUUCUCUCCAGCCCUGCAGGUCUGCCAGAGCAGUCAUGAUAAUUUGUUGAGCUUAAUAACUCCUCCGACAACAAAGAAGGCCAUUGAGUAUUGUGACAUGAAAUGAUAGGAAUAGAAGUUCCUGAGUGGGGAUGCUCGUUGAAGCAAGUGCCUUGGCUGUCACUUCUACUAAAAGCCUAUUCACAGUUGAACAGAAGGGAUGCAAGUGGUUGCAUGGGCAACUCUGUGUAUGUGUGUGUGUGUGUGUGCAAGUUUGUCCUUGUUGGAGAGAUGUCACAGUGAAACUGCCACAUGGUAGAAACAGGAUGGCAUUUAAAUAUCUGAAAAUAGUCCCUAUAUGCAAAACACCCACAUUUUUCAAGGUUAAAGUGUGAAAUACAUGCAUAAUACGGUCUAAUUUAUGUUUUUUUCUUCAUUUUGACAAUAUGUUGGCAUCAGUGCAUGUUCAUAUAGUGCAGUGGUGAUAUUUGCUAGUGAAGCUGCAAUCUAUCAGUGUUUUGUUCACAGUCAGAGGGUCAGAGGAUUGUUCCAGAAGGUCUGAGGGAAAUAAUAGAUUGGGGAAAGCAAAGAGCCCCUGCAGCUGACGAACAUUCACUCACUCAUUCAACAGGGAUUCAGCGCUACUGCAGGGGUUUCUCCCAUCUACUGUAAACCACAUUGCAGCAACUCUGUAUGACCACAUUUGCUACAGCACCAAAAACACUGCGUCUGCCUUGAUUCACUCUCUCCCAAUCCCACGAGCAGGGGACAUUGAUUAAAUAGUCAAUAAUGUUUUCACCGAAUGACCUAUUUUCCUGUUCCAGUCUUUGGUAAACAAGAAAAUGGAUCAUAAUGCAGUCAAUGUUAAGAGUGGCUGAACAGUGUGAUUGAUGCCUGCGGCAGAGAGGGGCUAUGCGAACUAGUGCGUCAAAUACCGAGGAUUGGUCACUCGCCCAAAACUUCAAACUAUGUCACUCUAGCGUCAGUUUUGGAAUGCAUCAGAGACAUUGUGUCAAUAUAGGCUCGUUACAUGGAUAGUGUCCUAUUGUUUUCAAAGUACAUUUCCAUCUUCACAGGAAGUUAGGUUUAGGCAACAAAACCACAUAGUUAGGUUUAGGAAAAUAUUGUGGUUGAUGUUAACUUUUAGUAUGGCUUUUAUUUAAGGUGCCUAGUCAUUGAUUGUCUUAGUUUUUAAGUCUGAAAAAGUCUCAAAGGUUUUCAGCCUGUUUUAACAUUGUAUUGUGUAUUGUUGUAAUGUUUAGUCUUGCAAAAUGAUAUUGUAUUGUUGUCUUUUAUUUUUUUUAUUUGCUCUGUGAAGCAUUUUGGGCUCCAUGAUAGGUGCUAUCUAAAUUGAGUUGAGUUCAGACUAAGUACUCAAGUUACUUCUGAGUGACGUGACUAUAGCGAAUCCCAUAAACCAUGUGUCUAAUGAUUGACGUGUCAAUACGCGUCAACAUUGACUUUUAGUUUCACAUGGAACAGGAACAGCGGCGAAAGUCCUGUGUUUGUUUGACCUAUCCGCAAACAGCAUCCGAAACCAUCGCCUCUCCCAUAGACUUUAUAUAAGAAGUGGAUGUAGUCACUGUGACAUCACCCAUUGGUUUGGGAAGUACCGUUCUGAAGUCAUUAAAAGAUCCCCUCUCAAUGUCCUUCAGAUGUAAGUGGUGCUUGCUCAGUAUCUCCCUUCAGACACCUGUUGGAUUUGUCAAAGAUGCAAAGUUGAUAUUUUUCCACACUCUUAUCAUCAGAGAGGGGGGUGAGGAUGUGUGUCUGUCAGCUAAGAUGGUUGGUUCUUUCAACACAAUGUAUUAAUUCUUCCUAUUUUGGGAGAAAGUGCAUUUAGGACUUCGAUGUAACCACAGUUCAGAUGGUAAAGCAGUUAGGUGAAAUGACAAGAAAUAAUAGGGCCUCCAGCUAAUUUCCCUGCAAGAUCAUCUGUGAGGAGUGAGAGCAGAAUGCAUUAGUCUGCUUUUCAACUGUGGGAGCCUGUAGGAUUGAGCUGUUGGCUGUGUGCCCACUGAGUGUAUUCAACCCUCUACAGAUAGGUCUUUGUCCUCUGCGCUUUAACGCAGCUGCUAAACAACCGUAAGACAAAAGCAUCUGGGGUACCCCAGCACACCAAUGAGAAAUGUUCACCAUAUGAAGAGCCCUGCCAGACAGCCUGAGACCAUUUGGAAGCAACCAAAUGCUAUGCAUGGGAUGAAUUAAGCAGGAAUUUAAAUGAAUACCCAUGUAAACCCUUGUGACUUUUUCUUUGCCCCUAUAUUCAGAAUUAUUUGUGAAAUCCUACUCAAGAUAUUCAAAGACGUUUUUUUUGACGAUACUGUCAUAAAAGCGAACCUUGUGAAGACUUGUCUGCAACACAGCUUGUUGCUUAUCCAAGUUGUGGCAGGAAAUGCACAUGAUGGUGCUGCAUGUGACACAGUGAAACCAGAGUUAGAAGCCACUUGACACACACACACACACACACACACUCUCUCUGUCGCCAGCCAGGAAUCAUUUUCCUGCCAAAGAAAAAGUUUUUUAAGUUAGACAUUUUAUUGUCUGCUUAUUGUCCUCCAGAGAAUGUCUUGAUAUGCAGGAGGGGGCACUUCUGCCAAGCAGAAGAAAAUCUGCGAUCGCUGAGCUUUUAGAAAGCAACAGCUGCAAGGAAACCCAAUAGCUGAGGGAGAGCGUUUGGCGAGACUGUUUUGGGGAUGGAUUUCAAUUUGACUCAAUUGUUGAACGGUUUUGUAGAAAAAAUGUAGUGUAUUCAACUGAGUUACACUUUUACCAUUUAUACACACAAGCUUUUUUAUCACUUACUGUUAGGGCUAAACGACUUUAUAACAAUAUGUAAUUGCAAUUAUUUUGACUGAUAUUGCAAAUAUGAUUUACUAUAUUAGAGGGAUUGAUUAUAUUCACAUUGUUAUUGUCAUGUUCCUUGAAAAUUAGAUUAAAAUUAUUAUGGUGUGAUUUUGUGGGGAUCUGUACCAAACAAAGAUGUAGAAUAUGAUGUGUAGGCCGGGAAAUCCCUUCAGCACAACAUAUUGCACCUUGCCAUAUUAUGACUCUUUCAAUUAAUUGUGCAGCCCUACUCACUGUAGGUUCACUUGAGAGGAAAUGAGAAACUUACCAGCUAACAGCGGCUUCAGGGGAGAGGAAAUCCCAGAUGUUUCUGUCUGAAAAACAGGUUGACCCUGUAAACCACACGCAGACCAGAGGAGAGAUCAGUCAGCAGUAUGAACGUUACAGCUACGCCACUGAGAGCUCUCAUAAGUCAUCUUAGCUUUUGACCUCCACUCUAUGGAAAAACAAUACGGUAACAAUGGUGUCCACGGCUGAAAAUGGGAAAGUAAUGUUGUGAAGGAACGGAGCAUCUGGAAUGUAUAGAGCAAGCUUCCUGCAACUGAACACAUGUUGAGAGAGAGAGAGAGAGAGAGAGAGAGAGAGAGAGAGAGAGAGAGAGGUAUUAGCAUUAAGAGUUGCUUUGUGUUUGUUGUUGCUAGGCAGGUUCAGACUAAACAUUUUCCAAGACAAUAUAAGAACAUCAUCUUCUGUAUUUAUUGAUUUCAAAGUUAUUUGAAUUUGAGGCACUGACUCGUCCUGUUUCUUUUCACACUUAAAGCUGCACAUCUUCUAAAAGAAACAAAGUAAACAGUGUUUUAUUUCUUCAUUGACAGUUAUGACACGGUUAUGCAAAUGAGUUUAAAUCAGUUUCUAGUGCCAAAGUGUUCUGCAAACACAGAUUGAAGCACUUCUUUUUGCAUACAAAAUGAUUUAACAAACAUGACUCUCUUUUGAUGUAUUAUCAGACCGGUGGUUCCAUCAAGUUUGCACAGACUGAGAGUGAGAGUGUAAAUCUUUAGACACUAAUAAUGAUGUAGUGACUGUAUCACAUCUGAUGGUGCCAUAAAUGGGUUUUUUCAUUGCACAGUAGAUGCUACAAAGUGUCCAGUAUGAUGGACAAAAGGGUAUUACCGCCUGUUCUGUUGGGAAAACUGUACUUAAAGCAGUAAAGUAAUGGAUUGACCCACUCUCGCAGAGUUCAGCCAGGGCAGAGUAUACGAACCACUAGAGAGAUUAGCUCCUAUCUUUCUCUUGCAAUGAGCUGUAUUAGCCACUUAUUGUUAAGAACUUAGUCCACGUCUAAACCGCUUCCAUCAUGAAUCUGAGGACAAACAAAUCCCUGCAGGGGUGGAAGUGUCAGGUUCAGGUUGCGGCCGACUCCCUGUCCUUCCAGGAUCCAUCCGCGGGACGCAGGGCUUAGAGACAAGAGAGAAGAGCCUCGUGGAACAAUGGCAUUAAAGUGAUCUCCGUGUCAUCUGCUCUGUUGUCAUAGUGCUGGCGAUGAAUCCUGACACGGUGGAGUCCAAGUGGCUACUAUGUUUCACUGGCUGGGGCUAAAAGGAGGAGGUUUCUACUCCUUCUAAUGAGGGAUGGGGGGAACAGAGAAGAGGAGGGUUUGAAAAGGGUAAAGUCUUGGGUCAAGGGUGAGAGGUUGGCAGCGUGAAGCGGAGGACAAUAGGAUUGGCGGGUGACACGCAGAGAAAGAAAUCCCAGCAGCUGGGAUAGACAGAGAGGGUGGGGGCUGUUCAUGGGAAGCAACUCCAAGAUUAGCUGGAAAGUCUCAUCUAAUGUCCCCAUGUCUCUGUGCUUCAUUAUGUCUCUAUUGUGUGUGUGUGUGUGUGUGUGUGUGUGUGUUCACAUGCUUUUGCCCUGUGCAACAAGUAGGAAAAUGAAAGACUGUCUCGAGCCCUGUGUUAUUUGGCAUCUCAGCACCUGGAGUGUGAGAACGUUUGAGUUGUGGAGAUCCUAAUCAGUGUAAGAAUGACAUCUGUAGAAACAUUUUGCUUUCAAACUAUUUCUAGGUCUCCUGGCACAACAUGCUAGAUCUUCUUUACAAACAUCCAUAUAAAAUGUCUCAUGCCAAAAAUACAUUCAACUGGAGCUGGUUAUUCAGGUUUGAUGUUAUCAUCACUCAAUAUCAGCAUGCUUGUGUUGUUAAAUUUCCCAAAGAAUAUUCAUAAAUCAAUAACAUUAUGUGCACAUCUGUACAAGACUAAACAAAUAACCUGCUAACUACCUUAAGAUUCAAAGUGACUGCCGUCCUGUCAUUCAUGGAUUAUAAAAGGAAACUCAGUGGCCUUUGUCUGGAGCUAAAUAAACAAAUGCUUACAGUGAUGGAUAUUGUAUUUCAAGGAUCAACACCACAAAGGGAAGUCCCUGGGGGGCUUAUUUAUACUCUGUGCAGUUUAAUAGACCGUCAGACAUUUAAAAUGGCUUUGUAAGGUGCUCAGUGUCAAAAUGACUGCAAAGUGGCUGCAGUUUGCACUUAAUCUGUGCAGAGAAAAGAUUGAUAUACAGAGAGUAUAGACAGAUUAAAUCAGGUUAGAAUUACAUCUGCACCUUAAAGGGCCAUAAUUACAUGUACAUGAAGGAGCUUUAAAGCGGCUUUAAUCAAUAUUCUUCUAUUAACAAUGGACCACAUGAGUAUUUGUAUGUGGAAGAUGUUGCUCAUCGUGACAAAUCCACAGAACUUUAACACCUGACUUUGCAGUUCUGCUUUAUAGCAUCUCAGCUCAUUGCUUUGGUUUUCAUGGUUUGCAGCUGUUUUCAGUGAAUCGCUCUACGCUACCUCUUCAGCAGCAAAUGACCGACAAACAAAGAUCCCUAUUAGCUGGCGACCAUAGUGGAACGUGUAGCACCUGAACAGCCAGAUAUUUCCCUCAAGAGUUUGUGGAGACCAAAAGGAGACCAUGUUUCUGCCAGAUAUAGUAUAAGUAGAUAUACUUUGGGGUAAAUGCUUUUUUCUCUCACAAAUAAUCUUUCCUGAAGCUCGUCUAUUUUGGGGGAACUGCUGAACGUGUUGGGGAAUAAAAGCGUUUUUUAAACCCCUUAUUUUUUCUUAGAGUCAACUAUUCAGGAGUUGCUGGGUAUUUUCAUUUCCUCCAUUUCUUGGCAAAGUAUUAUCACAAUAUAGAUUGAAAAAGACAAGAGGUUAUUAUCUAGCAUUAUUCCAACUGGAUAAUGGAGAGGUGUUUGCUUGCAGUACCUUUUGGCGGGUUCAUUGGCUGCAUAAUGUAAGAGUGGCAGAACCACAAAGACGGCAAAAAGCCUCUUCCAGACCGGAGGCAUCAUUAAAGUAUUUACUGUACGCUGAAAGAGAAAAACAAACAAUUAUGCAGACCUUUACUUUUCUCUAAAAUGGCAGCAAUACGGCCUGUAUGGGACGUGGUGGGGUACUAUAAAAACGCCUUAUCUCUAUCUUUCACUCUUUUCCAGGUUUCUGUUUCCUGGCAUUGAUUUGCUCUUUUGACUCCAGAUUAAAGUUGUGAAAUUCUUAGUGUGAAGGUUUUGACAUUGUAUUGGUUUUCUGUCCGGCACACGCCAUAGUGGCAGUUUCCAAGGUACUGUAAGCUAGGAAGCCUGGAUAAUAGGAAGCAUCUGUGGCGCUCACUGCAACACACUUUGGCCAAAACCACAGUGGCUGUGGAGGUGCCAGAGUCGAGAGGAUUGUGAAGUCAUUUUUUGAAGAAAAACAUGGCUGCCAGGCAUCCUCGAGUAAGUGUUUUGCUCCAUUUCCAGACCUAACAUGAUGGAGUAUCACAAACAUGCAAUUAGUGAAGUACUGAGUCAGAUACUUUGGGCAUUGUUUGGUCAAACACUUGUAAUUACAAUGGAGAGAAAAAUUCCAUCUGGAAAUUGUACAGUGGAAGAAACGCCAAGACAUAAAUGUGUCUAUAAGAAAUGGCUGGAAUUGAAUAGCAGAGCUGGAUUACCGCUUUUUCAGCAUAUGCCUUCACAUCUUUACAGGGGUUUGGGAGAAUACUUUUAUAUGUGGAAACAAUUGUAAGAAGUCUUUUGUGGCUACAAAGGGACCUGUGAGUGUGAAGUCUGAUAAAUUGCCUCAAGUGAUAUUCACCUGAGUCAGCAUUGGUUGAUGCUGAAGACUACAAGUUACAAGUAACACAGUGAGCUUACCGUGUACUGUAUCUCAAGGCUACAUUAGCUGCUUCUAGCAUAAUACAUCCGAAUCGCUGACUCAACUGUUGCAUUGUGGGUAAUGUAGGUGCCUGGAUUCGACAAGGAAGAAGAUGAAUGCAUUGAAUUACAUAGACUUUUUGUUUUAAACAGUCCAAUGUAAGACAAACAUCAGAGGCGCUCAUUCAAGUAUAAAGGUUGAAAAGCCUUUAUUUAAGUAUGACACCAUAAUGAUUCAAAUACCCUUUAACCUUCACUCUACUCCAACACUGAGUGUAUGGAAGAUUUUUUUUCUGGCUAUACACACAAUGUUGAUAUCCCUUAGUUUAUAGCUUCUUGCCAGGGCCAAAGGGAAGCAAAAUGAUCAUUAUAAGUCAGACCCCUGUGGUUUUCCAUCUCACAAUCCACAUAUUUUGCUGUAAUGGACGAGGACAGUUAGCAUAUUCAUUUCGUUCCAUUGCAGAGAGAGACUUUUCCUAGAAAAUAUGAAUACAAUUCAGGCUCAUGUUGGUUGGAUUUACAUGGAAGAAUUAGCUGUUCUUCUCGGGUGAGUUUGAGUCAUGCAUUUUGAUGUAUUGACUGUUAUAACUAAUCAUAUUUCAUAACUGAAUUGUUGACCAAAAUUUGUACAGAAUUUGUAAUGCGUUUUGUUAUUCUGUAGACUCGCAGAGGAAAAUGGGUCAACAAAACAAGUGAAUGGAUCUGUGUAAUGGGCAGGUAGUGUGCUGCUUUUGUAAACCAAUCAAUGACUUAGAUUCAGCACGCCAAACAUGACGGCAGACAUACAGAGCAGAUUGACCUAUGAAAAUGGCCUGCAUUUAAAUCCAGGACAGUAAUACCACCACAGUACAUUGGAAGGAAAUUCACUGACUGCAACACAUUGCCAAAACAAGGUUUACAGGAAUCUCUGUCUCAAAUGUGGUUAUAUACCACAAAUCACUGCAAGAAAUGAAAUGCUACAGCUUUUUUCCAUGAGAGCAGCAAAAUAUUCCUCAUCUGCUCUGCUCUGGUGGGAUGAGCCUGCUUUCCUCAGGCCGUUGCCAUGUGCUGGUAAGGGGAACUCGGGGCCUGGGCACUUGCCUGCAUCCCUGAGAACCCAGUCCUCACUGUGAGCCAAGCGGGGUGCAGGUCUUCACGGGUGACUGAACACUGAGGAGCAUUCAGGGCCCCCGGUCUCACAGCGUGAAAGGUUGACCCACAAUGAAGCCUCCUCCAUUUGUAUAAGCUUCAUCAUCAUUCAAAUUGUGUCUUCAAGUAGGGGAGUGGCGCUGUCUCGACACUGGAGCGGAGCAUGCAGCUCUCAGGCUUGGCCUCCUGUGUUCACGUGAAUAUUCCCACAGCCACUCAGUCUGUCACAGUGUUUUUGGUAAAGCUCCAAUCAGUCUGUUGCUCUUUAUAUGUAUAAUACCUUCCUUGCUUUAUUCAUUUCUGACGUUCAAGCUUCUUUUCUAGCUUAUUGUUUUGAUUUAAGGUUAUUACAUUUACUGUGUUGUUCAGUUUCUCUUCUCAAAAUCAACCCUGUUGCCAGCAGCAGGCAGCUGUUUCCAGCAAAAUAAAAAUGAAUACACACUGUGCUACCUGCCCAGGGAGUUGAACAUCUAACUACUGAAGAGCGAGAUAUUAAUCUCAAGAGUUGAUGGAGACCAAAACAGAGCUCAAAGCAGAGUGAAUGUUAUAUUUGUCAGCCAGAACUUUAAAUUAUUUCUAUUGAACACAAAGUAGACGUAAUAUUGUACAUUUGAUUCCUAGAAUUAGGUUAAUUGCAUUAGCUGAGAUCAUUCAUGCUUCACAAUCACUGGCUCAUUCACCAGUUGCUUGGCUACUAGCUGAGUAGUUAUGUAAAACCAAACAGCAACCAUUUGCUAUAGUUGGCUUUCAUUGACAUGUGUGUCUCUGACUGAAACAGGGGUUAAAGCCAAGAUUGAGGAUAUGAAAAUCUCUCAUAAUCAGUGUUUUAUUGAGUUAUUAUUUGCCUUCAGAGGAUAAGGCAGGAUAACGAGCACUGUAACAAAACUAUACAUGCUGAAUUUCUAUUUCUGAGCCAACAGUCAAUGCAUGACUUUUCUUCUGUUAAAGAACACUUUGUUAACUUUGGUUUUCCCUAGCUUAAGAUCCCAGCCAAAAAAA